UACAGAGGGUGCAAGCGUUGUUCGGAAUUAUUGGGCGUAAAGCGCGUGUAGGCGGCUUGGCAAGUCGGGUGUGAAAGCCCUGGGCUCAACCCAGGAAGUGCGCCCGAAACUGCCUUGCUUGAGUACCGGAGAGGGUAGCGGAAUUCCCCAAGUAGAGGUGAAAUUCGUAGAUAUGGGGAGGAACACCGGUGGCGAAGGCGGCUACCUGGACGGAUACUGACGCUGAGACGCGAAAGCGUGGGUAGCAAACAGG
rnacentral:rRNA from 1 species